rnacentral:rRNA from 1 species
CCUACGGGUGGCAGCAGUGAGGAAUAUUGGUCAAUGGACGAGAGUCUGAACCAGCCAAGUAGCGUGAAGGAUGACUGCCCUAUGGGUUGUAAACUUCUUUUAUCAAGGAAUAAAACGAGGCACGUGUGCCUUUUUGCAUGUACUUUAUGAAUAAGGAUCGGCUAACUCCGUGCCAGCAGCCGCGGUAAUACGGAGGAUCCGAGCGUUAUCCGGAUUUAGUGGGUUUAAAGGGUGCGUAGGUGGAUUUGUAAGUCAGUUGUGAAAGUUUGCGGCUCAACCGUAAAAUUGCAGUUGAAACUGGCAGUCUUGAGUACAGUAGAGGUGGGCGGAAGUCGGGGUGUAGCGGUGAAAUGCUUAGAUAUCACGAAGAACGCCGAUUGCGAAGGCAGUUCACUGGACUGCAACUGACACUGAGGCUCGAAAGUGUGGGUAUCAAACAGGAUUAGAUACCCGAGUAGUC